rnacentral:tRNA from 1 species
GGAGUGCAUGUUCUAAGGUAGCGAGUUGGUCUCCAAAACCGACUGUUGCAGGUUCGAUUCCUGUCCCUCCU